rnacentral:rRNA from 1 species
UGAGGAAUCUUGCGCAAUGGGGGAAACCCUGACGCAGCAACGCCGCGUGAGUGAGGAAGGUCUUCGGAUCGUAAAGCUCUGUCAGAUGGAAAGAACCGCAUGGGGGCCAAUACCCCUCAUGCCUGACGGUACCAUCAGAGGAAGCACCGGCUAACUCCGUGCCAGCAGCCGCGGUACUACGGGGGGUGCAAGCGUUGUUCGGAAUUAUUGGGCGUAAGGAGCGUGUAGGCGGCAGGAUGUGUCAGAUGUGAAAGCCCUGAGCUCAACUCAGGAAGUGCAUUUGAAACUGGCCAGCUUGAGUAGGGGAGAGGGAAGUGGAAUUCCUGGUGUAGAGGUGAAAUUCGUAGAUAUCAGGAGGAACACCGGUGGCGAAGGCGACUUCCUGGCCCUAUACUGACGCUGAGACACGAGAGCGUGGGUAGCAAACA